UACGUAGGGGGCAAGCGUUGUCCGGAUUUAUUGGGCGUAAGGCGCUCGCAGGUGGUUCGAUGCGUCGUGCGUGAAAGACCCCGGCUCAACUGGGGGGUGUCGUGCGAUACGGUCGGACUGGAGGCCAGUAGGGGGAUGCGGAAUUCCGGGUGUAGUGGUGGAAUGCGUAGAGAUCCGGAGGAACACCAGCGGCGAAGGCGGCAUCCUGGACUGGUCCUGACACUCAUGAGCGAAAGCGUGGGGAGCGAGCCGG
rnacentral:rRNA from 1 species